GAUGAACGCUGGCGGCGUGCCUAAUACAUGCAAGUCGAACGAACAGACGCUGAGCUUGCUCCUCUCACGUUAGCCGCGGAGGGGAGUGUAACGCGUGUAUAACCUACCUAUAAUACUGGUAACACUAGGGGACACCGGCGCUAAUACCGUAGAAUAUCCUGCUCCGCGUGGUGCGUUGGUGAAAGUCGGUGUUUCGGGCACUUCUCGAUGCAUCCCCGCCUCAUUAGCUAGUUGUGAAGCUCACAGGUUACCAAGGCAACGAUGCGUAAGCGACCUGAGAGGGUGGUAGGCGACACUGGAACGUGGCCGGGGUCCAUGCGACUACGGGAGGCAGCAGUAGGGAAUGUUCCGCAGUGGGCGGAAGCCUGACGGAGCAACGCCGCGUGAGUGGUGGAGGUCUUCGGAGCGUAAAACUCUGUUAUUAGGGAAGAACAAAUGUGUAAGUAACUAUGGACGGCGUGACGGUACCUGAUCAGAAAGCCACGGCUAACUACGUG
rnacentral:rRNA from 1 species